rnacentral:tRNA from 4 species
GCGCUUGUAGCUCAGCUGGAUAGAGCAACGGCCUUCUAAGCCGUAGGUCGCGGGUUCGAAUCCUGCCGGGCGCGCCA